UACAGAGGGUGCGAGCGUUGUCCGGAAUCACUGGGCGUAAAGGGCGCGUAGGUGGCGACCCAAGUCGAUGGUGAAAGCUCGCCGCUCAACGGCGAGUCGGCCCACCGAUACUGGGUUGCUGGAGCACUGUAGAGGCUCAUGGAAUCCGGGUGUAGCGGUGGAAUGCGUAGAGAUCCGGAAGAACACCGGUGGCGAAGGCGGCCUGCUGGGCAGUUGCUGACACUGAGGCGCGACAGCGUGGGGGAGCAAACAGG
rnacentral:rRNA from 1 species